ACCAGUGUGGCUCAAUGGAUAGAGCGUCGACCUAUGAACCUGGAGGUCCCGGGUUCGAUUCCCGGUCAAGGGCA
rfam:Myotis davidii contig24720, whole genome shotgun sequence.